UGGGGAAUAUUGCACAAUGGGCGCAAGCCUGAUGCAGCCAUGCCGCGUGUAUGAAGAAGGCCUUCGGGUUGUAAAGUACUUUCAGCGGGGAGGAAGGGAGUAAAGUUAAUACCUUUGCUCAUUGACGUUACCCGCAGAAGAAGCACCGGCUAACUCCGUGCCAGCAGCCGCGGUAAUACGGAGGGUGCAAGCGUUAAUCGGAAUUACUGGGCGUAAAGCGCACGCAGGCGGUUUGUUAAGUCAGAUGUGAAAUCCCCGGGCUCAACCUGGGAACUGCAUCUGAUACUGGCAAGCUUGAGUCUCGUAGAGGGGAGUAGAAUUCCAGGUGUAGCGGUGAAAUGCGUAGAGAUCUGGAGGAAUACCGGUGGCGAAGGCGGCCCCCUGGACGAAGACUGACGCUAAGGUGCGAAAGCGUGGGGAGCAAACAGG
rnacentral:rRNA from 1 species